rfam:Ipomoea nil DNA, scaffold: scaffold2283, cultivar: Tokyo-kokei standard.
GGGUGUUUGGUCUAGUGGUAUGAUUCUUUCUUUGGGUGCAAGAGGUCGUGAGUUUGAUUCUCACAACACCCC